UACGGGGGGAGCAAGCGUUGUUCGGAUUUACUGGGCGUAAAGGGCGCGUAGGCGGUCAGCACAAGUCAGUUGUGAAAUCUCCGGGCUUAACUCGGAAAGGUCAACUGAUACUGUGCGACUAGAGUGCGGAAGGGGCAACUGGAAUUCUCGGUGUAGCGGUGAAAUGCGUAGAUAUCGAGAGGAACACCUGCGGCGAAGGCGGGUUGCUGGGCCGACACUGACGCUGAUGCGCGAAAGACAGGGGAGCAAACGGG
rnacentral:rRNA from 1 species